UUGGAGUAUUAAAGGAGAGAAGGUUAGCACUCCCCUUGAUAAGGAUGGAAGAGGUCCUAGUGACCUUUACAACACGCAUAUGGUUAAGCUUAGUCUUUUCUGGGCUAAUCUAUAAAGGUAU